rnacentral:misc_RNA from 1 species
GAUGAAGAACGUAGCGAAAUGCGACAAGUAAUGUGAAUUGCAGAAUUCAGUGAAUCAUCGAAUCUUUGAACGCACAUUGCGCCCGCCAGUAUUCUGGCGGGCAUGCCUGUUCGAGCGUCAUUUCAACCAUCAAGCCCCCGGCUUGUGUUGGGGACCUGCGGCUGCCGCAGGCCCUGAAAACCAGUGGCGGGCUCGCUAGUCACUCCGAGCGUAGUAGUUACAUCUCGCUCAGGGCGUGCUGCGGGUUCCGGCCGUUAAAAGCCUUAUUUACCCAAGGUUGACCUCGGAUCAGGUAGGAAGACCCGCUGAACUUAAGCAUAUCAAUAAGCGGAGGA